rnacentral:rRNA from 1 species
GAUGAACGCUGGCGGCGUGCCUAAUACAUGCAAGUCGAGCGAACAGACGAGGAGCUUGCUCCUCUGACGUUAGCGGCGGACGGGUGAGUAACACGUGGAUAACCUACCUAUAAGACUGGGAUAACUUCGGGAAACCGGAGCUAAUACCGGAUAAUAUAUUGAACCGCAUGGUUCAAUAGUGAAAGACGGUUUUGCUGUCACUUAUUGAUGGAUCCUCGCCGCAUUAGCUAGUUGGUAAGGUAACGGCUUACCAAGGCGACGAUGCGUAGCCGACCUGAGAGGGUGAUCGGCCACACUGGAACUGAGACACGGUCCAGACUCCUACGGGAGGCAGCAGUAGGGAAUCUUCCGCAAUGGGCGAAAGCCUGACGGAGCAACGCCGCGUGAGUGAUGAAGGUCUUCGGAUCGUAAAACUCUGUUAGUAGGGAAGAACAAAUGUGUAAGUAACUAUGCACGUCUUGACGGUACCUAAUCAGAAAGCCACGGCUAACUACGUG